rnacentral:rRNA from 1 species
UACGUAGGGGCUAGCGUUAUCCGGAAUUACUGGGCGUAAAGGGUGCGUAGGUGGUUUCUUAAGUCAGAGGUGAAAGGCUACGGCUCAACCGUAGUAAGCCUUUGAAACUGGGAAACUUGAGUGCAGGAGAGGAGAGUGGAAUUCCCAGUGUAGCGGUGAAAUGCGUAGAUAUUGGGAAGAACACCGGUGGCGAAGGCGACUUGCUGGGCAGCAACUGACGCUGAGGCGCGAAAGCCAGGGGAGCAAACGGGAUUAGAUACCCCCGUAGUCCCUGAGCGGGCU